CAAAGAUCAGCUGUCGCAAGGUAUGAAAAGUUUGCCACUGCAACAUACAUGCCGUCGCAUAAGAACUUAAGAAGGCUACGAUGCUACGGGAUUCUUUUAAGAAAAUCUGAUUUCGAAUCAAAAAAGCCUCAUUUUCUUCAACCCUCCUCCUCUCCCACAACCCUCUAUAUCCUUUUCUCCGUUCUUGUUCCAACUCACCAAAUUGAGGUUCGAAGAACUUGGUUGCCAUUGGGUUGAUCUGGAUCCAGAUCCAGGGCUUAUUCUUGUUUGUGUAUUUCAAUUAAUUUUCUCGAUCCAUUAUUGUUGAACUCUAGUCAACUAACAUGCUUCAAUUUCGUUGGCUGGGUUUCACUGCGAAUUCCCCUUUCACUCUGGUUUGCUAAAGCCUCCAAUCUCCCCCCCCCCCCCCAUCCUUUAUCACGACUAUUCUCUGUGCAUCCAAUUUCACAACGAAAAAAGAAAACCCUUGAUUUUUGGGGAAAAUCAGAAUGAAUGUCAAGGACAUCUUGGGUUUGCUCAAAACCAUGCAUCCCUUGUAGCGGGAGAAGAAAUCGCGGCUGAGUUCCAUUCGGAUUUUGGCGUAGUUCCGUGGACGCACGAUCUCUUUGGCUCUCUCCUUGACUGACUCACUCCCUCAUGGAUUUCUGGGUUGAAGAUAUUGGAAUUUGUCUCGAGCUUUUGGUCAACUGGUCUUGCUCUUGGACUCUUGGUUCGAUUCAAAAAUCUUCAAGCUUGAGAUUAGUUCAGCACUAACCAACUCAGUAUCUGACAUUUGAGAAGUUGAGCAUUGGGAAAAUCAAGUUCAAGGCUUUUGAUUUGGGUGGGCAUCAGAUUGCUUGCAGAUUUUGGACAGAUUACUAUGCUAAGGAAUAGUACAAGCAAAAAUUGAAAUUUUUGGGCUGCAAUGUUUGAUGUUGCUGAAGUUGGCAUUUUACUCGAUUGAAGUGUCCUUGCAGGGGAUAAUUUUAGCAUUAUUGUUUACGUUUGUUCUUUGAAGGUAAAAAUACUUGUUUUUCUGGUAUAUACAUAUGCUUAUAUUUUGUGGCUUGUUAUUGCGUCUUAUUUCCCUUGAAUGGAGCUUUCUUUUAUUAGGGAAAUUGGCCAAACCCCCGCAGUUGCACAAUUCACAGUGAAGAAUGAUGUGUCUCGCUGAGACACUUGAAGGGCAGCAAAGCAUUGAUGGUCUACAUAACUGUGGGAUCAGCUGCAUAUCCAAUCUUAGAAUUUUUAGAAGAACGAGGUACAUAAAAUUUUGAGGAUUUUUUUCCCUACUGUUAUUCCCCAAGCCACACAGAUUUUUGUUAAUGGCUGCUGGGUAAUUGGCAUACAUCGUGAUCCUGAAAUGUUGGUGAGAACAUUAAGGAAGCUAAGGCGGGAACACCAUGAAGACGGUGGUUGGCAUGAUCUUGUAGCAAAAGGAUUUAUAGAAUAUAUUGAUACUGAAGAAGAGGAGACCACUAUGAUUUAGAUGACAAUUAAUGAUCUUGUACAAGCAAGGCUCAAUCCUGAGGAGGCAAAUUCUGACACUUAUGCUCAUUGCAAAAUUCACUCGUCACUUAUAUUGAGUGUUUGUGCUUCAAUUAUACCAUUUCCUGAUCAUAAUCAGUCCACGUAGUACAUUCAAUCUGCCAUGAGAAAGCAAGCUAUGGGAAUUUAUGUCACUAACUACCAGUUCUGAAUGGAUACACUGGCUUUUGUUCUGUACUACCCUCAGAAGCUGCUUGUCACUACAUGAGCCAUCGAGCAUCUUCACUUCAGGCAACUUCCAACUAGAAUUAUGAGAUAACAUAUGUGAACCUUCUACUGAACCCUGAACGUUACACUGGCUAUGCUGGUCUGUCCAUCAGCAAGAAGGAUAUGGGAUGCUGUUUAUUCUGAAAAUUGCCCAAAAUGAUCUAUGCUUUCAUAAAGUAAUUAAUCAGAGGAUUUCAAUAUCAAUUUGCCUGAACUUUCAUAUCAAUAGAAAACGGACACAUAUCUUGAGGAAGAUGGAGGAAGAUCCCUGCAAAGCUUUUCUUGAAGUAGAGGAAGAAAAGUACCUUGUAUUAUCUUGUAAACUCUUGUAUAAGAGCUUCAUUUCUUUUGUAACAUUCAUGAGAAAAAUCAAAAUGUAACAUUCCCUUUUCAAUAUAUGUUUAAUUCCUUUUUGUA